rnacentral:rRNA from 1 species
UCGGGAAUUUUGGACAAUGGGCGCAAGCCUGAUCCAGCCAUGCCGCGUGCGGGAAGAAGGCCUUCGGGUUGUAAACCGCUUUUGUCAGGGAAGAAACGCUCUGGGCUAAUACCCUGGGGUAAUGACGGUACCUGAAGAAUAAGCACCGGCUAACUACGUGCCAGCAGCCGCGGUAAUACGUAGGGUGCAAGCGUUAAUCGGAAUUACUGGGCGUAAAGCGUGCGCAGGCGGUUAUGCAAGACAGAUGUGAAAUCCCCGGGCUCAACCUGGGAACUGCAUUUGUGACUGUAUAGCUAGAGUACGGUAGAGGGGGAUGGAAUUCCGCGUGUAGCAGUGAAAUGCGUAGAUAUGCGGAGGAACACCGAUGGCGAAGGCAAUCCCCUGGACCUGUACUGACGCUCAUGCACGAAAGCGUGGGGAGCAAACAGGAUUAGAUACCCCCGUAGUCCCUGAGCGGGCUGGCAAGGCGCAU